UACGUAGGGGGCAAGCGUUGUCCGGAUUUAUUGGGCGUAAAGAGCGUGUAGGCGGCCUGGUAGGUCAGCUGUGAAAACUCGAGGCUCAACCUCGAGACGCCGGUUGAAACCAUCAGGCUAGAGUCCGGAAGAGGAGAGUGGAAUUCCAGGUGUAGCGGUGAAAUGCGCAGAUAUCUGGAAGAACACCCGUGGCGAAGGCGGCUCUCUGGGACGGUACUGACGCUGAGACGCGAAAGCGUGGGGAGCGAACAGG
rnacentral:rRNA from 1 species